AAGUUCCCAUGAGUGCUCCCUUCUGUGAGUAUUUAAAUUACAUGGGGUAGAUAAAUGGAUGCUUGCGAUGGUUGUUCUCGGUUGUCAGCUUGGCUAUAUACGGAAUGAACUACAGUCCAGGAAUGGAGAGCCCACCCGUGGUCCAGACAUUGAAUCAAGAAGACACAGGCUUUUGAUCCAGAUCUUGAGGCAGGAUGACAUAUAUAUGCUUUCGAUCUGGAUCGACACACACCUUUAAUCCCAAUCUUGAGGCUCACCUUUAAUCUGGGCCAUGCUGUCUGCUGGAGGCCUGCAUAAGGACAAUGAAAGAAGGGGGUUGUGUGUGUGUGUGUGUGGGGGGGGUGUUCCUUCCCUCCUAAUCUGUAAGCUCUGCUCUCCCUGAGACAGACAGACAGACAGGCACACACACACACGUUGGUUGGCUGGCCCCUUAAGGAGAAGGCAAGCCCACAUGUAUGCCUCGUGGUUUCUCCAAAUGAAGGGGCUUUGGUAGGGUAGGGCUUAUUGCGCUCAGAGGAUGGGAAAAUUCAAAGGCAGUGUGGCAUAUAACAGUUUUCUGUUAGCUUGUUUUCUACAAGAUCUGCUUUCUCUAAACUUUGAGUUAUUAUACUACUGCAUAAUUAUAGUUUUUAACUUUCAAUCGAAAGCGUAAGUGUGAAUUAAUUGAUUUUGUGAUGAUAUUGGCAAGUCAGUCAUCCAGUCCUUGUGUCUGUCUUCCCUAUCUAAGGAGCCUCCAUGGACGUGUAAACUCACUCACGUUAGGAGUACCACUCGGGUGAGAGCUUAAGAAGGGACGGACGCUUGGAAGCAGCCCUAGAAUCUUUCAUAAUUGCCAGGGAAACAGUCAUCUGUGGUAUAACAGAUAAUAACAGAUAUGAGCUUUGUGUGCUAGGACCAGAAUCCAGAUCACUUGGCAGAGUCUGGAAAGGGUCACCAGGACCUCCGCCAGGUUCAGUUCAAGUUCCUAAAUGUCGAGGCUCCACUGUUAGGAAUGAUGAACAAUCCCUCUCUUCAGCCUCGUAUUUGACAGAGGAUGCGCUGUGCGUUGUUUUAAACAGAGACGAGACUGUCUCCUCCGGCCUCUAAAUGACAGUUCACAUUCACAGGUUUAAGGAGACUACAUCUGGUUGAAGAAACAAAUAUUUCUCUAUAAAAUUCACUUUAGAAGUGGACAGUGGACAAUGCUGUCCCGGUUUAGACAGUGAGAUUUGGAAUGUGACUGGGUAUUAGCAAUUGUAAGACCUUGGGGUUUUUGUUUUUGUUUUUUAUUUUCAUAGUUAAGAUAAAGGCAAUGUCUACUUUACUGAGACAUGGGAAUACUUUCGUUAAUGCACAGUAUGACUGGGAAUCACUGGCACAUAGUAGGCAUCUAACAAAGGAUGUUCAUGUUGUUUCUUUAUCAAUGGCACUGAUGAUACAGGCUUUUAUGGGAAGGAUUCAGUCAGAAGGGAGGAGCUGCAGCCAGAGUGCUUCAGCCGUGAACUGUUGAUGUGAACAGGGAUAUAAACCCAGAGUAGUGCAAGGAUCUGGGAACCGCGGGGGAAGAGGUGGUUUUAAUAGAUGAUAGGUUUGUGAGAGUCUUAAGCGGAGCAGUGAUAUCAUCAACAUUGAAUUUUUAGACAAGAUGUCUGGUUUGGGUUUGAUUGGUAGAAAAAGUGCAGAAAAAGAGAAUAAUGGAUGAGAAAAACUACCCUUUAUUUUUAUCAUAUACGUGUACAAACUGAGGUGCUGACAUACUGUUGUGCUUUUGAACUUCUUAAACCUAUGAAGUAAGUGCCCUUCACCCCUCUUUUGAAGAAUAGAAACCAGGUCUCUGAUUCUGCCACCAGGUAAUGGUUUUGUGGACUCAGAUUAGAUCACUAUUAAUUAUGCAUCAGGAACUGGAAGAAGCAUGUGAAGGCCCCUGUGUAAUCUGCACGGCAGCCUAUGAUUCGCUAAUUCUGGAAACUAACCAAACCCCUUCCACUGUGAAGUAUCAGCCCUCCAUUUCAGCCAACAACCUUUCCUAGGUGGUCUGCCCAGCGAAUCAUUUGCUCAAAUUAUAGACUAAAGUGAAAAGAGAAUAAUGUUUAGACCAGCAGCUUUCGUGAACUUGGUUCUUUGUUAGCUUCUUAGAGAUAAGUUAUUUUUUAGUUGUAAAGUAUCUUUUAUUCUCCAGAUGUAAUUGUCAUCCAGGAGGCUUGCUGCUGAAUACACUCACCCUUUCUAGUUUUGUUUUGUUUUGUUUUGUGUUGUUUUUUUUCUGAUCUCUUGCUGGCUGGUUCAACUUAGCUAUUUUGGCCCAAUCUCCUCUCCAAGCCAAUGGAUUCAAAUUGUUUUCUCCUUCUGCAAAGCUCUCUUAAAUCUCUCUUUCCUGUCUUUCUCAUGAGAGUUGGGGGCUAUCUUAUCUCUGACUCAUUCUGUCAAAUCUUUCUCUGCUUCGUCACUUUGUCUGCCCCUCAAUUAGACUCUGCUUUCAAACAUGACUGCUUUCUUCUACAAGUUAACUUUACCUUCAUUGUUUGAUAUUAAAGGUAUGUGCUAACUGUGUUUAUUGAAGCCAGAGGCUGUGUAUUGAAGCCAGAGAGAUUAAAGCUCUGACCGUCCUGGAAUUCUGUUCCAAUCUGGCCUUGAACUGAGAGAUCCAGCUGUCUCUGCCUCCUAAGUGUGGUGUUAAAGGAGAGAGAGCACCACGGAAGCCCAGCUUGAGAACCUCUUAUAAGAAGCAGAUCUCUGUGACCUAGUGUGAGAAUCUACACAUAUAAAAAUGUUCCUCCCACUCUACAUAAAUCACCACUUCACAGUUGAAACCUUCAGGCUGCUUCUCGGAGAAGCCAUUGUUUAUUCAGAAAGCUCUGCAGCGUCCUUGAGCUCCUCCCUUCUCACUGAAGCUGACCCUUUGAGCAGUGGCACCACCCGCGGGAGCUACCCACGGGAACCCGGUGCGCCCCCUGCUUACUGUUCUUCCACCUGUUUGGUGGCUGUUUUGGUUGUUGACCUAACUACAUCUGGAAUUAACCAAAAUCCAAGCAGCUGAGAACACCUGUCAGGGAUUUUUUUUUUAACUAUUUGAGGUGGUAAGAUCCACCUUUAAUCUGGUCACGCCUUCUAAUGGCGGCCUGUAUAAGUGACGGUAAGAAGGAAGGAUGCUCUGCCUACCUGCCCUUGCUCUCACUGGCAAGACCAUUCCUCCACUGGCACUGGAACCUAUUUCUCUGGGAUCCUGGUGUAGUGAAGACCCGCUGAGACAUCUGGUCUCCUGGAAUAAACAACUAUAGGACUCCUGGGCCUCCCAUUGGUAGACAACCAUUGUUGAACUAGUUUGAUCACAGCCUGUAAGCCAUUCUAAUAAAAAUGUAUAAAAAUAUUAUAUCCUAGAAUAUAUAUUCUUUGUGUUUUCUUCCUCUAGAGAACCCCGACUACUAUAACAUGCAAUUUUCAGUUCCACAUACUAGUGAGGUCAUCCAGUAAAUGUCUUUCUGAUCCAGGCUUAUCCCAUUUAUCAUAGUGUCCUCUAGGUUAGUCCGUGCUGUCUGUCAUAAAUGGCAUUCUUUUUAAAGGUUGCAUUGUUUUCUACUCUGCAUAGAUACAUUUUCUUCUCUUGUUUUGUUUGAGGGGUGGUUAGAUGGGGGUGUCACGUAUAACUGGUUGGUCUGGAACUCACUACUUAGAUCAGAGAGGUCCCAAGCUUAUAAUUUUUCUGCCUCUGCCUCCUGACUGCCUAGUUUCCUCGGUUUUCCCUUCGCACGUCUUAGUCGAUAGACCCUUAAGAUGCUUCCACACCCCGGCCAUUGUACAUACUCCCUCGGUGAGCAUGGGAGUACACACGUCAUUCGUUUCUCUGAGUACAUAUGUACCUGAAAUAGCCUCGCUAGCUUACAUGACAGCUCUGGGUUUCACCUUUGAGACCCUCCAUGUUGCGCCCCAUAGGAUCCAGUGCUAAUGGACAUUCCCUUCCACAGUGGGCUUUACCAAUAUCCAUUGGCUUUUGUCUGUGAUAAACAAAGGCCGUUCUAACAGGUGAAGGGCUUCUUCAUUGAGAAUUGCAUUUAGGUUUCUCUGAUUACUGAUGAUUUUCUCAUCUACCUACUGGUUAUGUCUUGUUUAAAAAUGGCCGUUAUGGUCCUUUGUCUAUUUCGUUACUUGUUCCCUUGCUAUUGAUCUGUUUGAAAUUUCUCUACAUUUGGGUUGGUAACCCCUUAUGGUAUAUGGUUUGCAAAUAUGAAUGGUUUCUCACUUACAUUUAAAUGUUGUAUAGGGACAUUACAAUUGCAGCUAACUGUAGUUUUUCUCCAAUGUGAUUUUAACUGAAAGCUGAAUUCUCAAGGUUAAUUUCCUGGCUAUGUGAAUACAUUAUGUAUCCGUGUACAGACGCUCGCUAUGCCUUCACUAAUAAAUUGGUAUAAAUUGCAGUAA